UUAUUUUUUUUUAUUAAGUUUUUCGAAAUACUAUAUUAUUAAUUUUUUUCAUUAAUUUUUUCAACAUGCUAUACUAUCAUUUAUAUUAAAUUAUAGUGUAUACAACUGCUAUUAUUACAUAUUUCCAUGAUUAUGAUCAACAUUUUGCAAACUGUUAUACCAAAUCAGUUUGUGUGCCUCUCAUGUAGCAUUAGCUAGUUAGAUAGCCACGCAAAACUCUCGCGAGACUCGCUACCCGACGACCUAUCCUUACCUUGAACUAUUUGAGGUCAAUGCCUAACCUUAAUAAUAUCGCGAGUUUUCCCAGCUUGCGGGCUCCCUUCUAGUCCCUAGCCACUACCAGGUAACAACAGCUAGCAAUUUAACCUGUCAAAGUCCCCAGGAGAUGUGCCCUGUGUCGACCAUCAGAUCAAGCAGUCAGAGAAAAGAGCUGUCCUCUGUAGAGCGCAGCGCUCUGCGUGUCCUUCUGGACCUGUUAGACCGGCAUAGCAGUGAGUUGAUGACCAGCGGCGGUGGUUUUCCCUGAGAGAUGCAGAGGAAAGAUUGGAAAAUGUGAACCACAUCUUUACUGACCCUUGCUGGAGAUGUAGAGAUCCUGUGGUCAGUGUAUUCAACCUGCUAUUUGAAGAUUCGGAGACUCACCCUGCCACCAUGACAAGAGGGUCUUUCUCUUGGCUGAGGUCAGUGGCGACAGUCAGGCCUUGUCGGCCGUGUGCGUGGGGAGGGAGAGACACGAGCGCCACCAUGUGGGGACUUUUGGUGAGU